UACAGAGGGUGCAAGCGUUAAUCGGAUUUACUGGGCGUAAAGGGCGCGUAGGUGGUUGCGUAAGUGAGAUGUGAAAUCCCCGGGCUUAACCUGGGACGUGCAUCUUAGACUGCGUAGCUGGAGUGUUGUAGAGGGUAGUGGAAUUUCCGGUGUAGCGGUGAAAUGCGUAGAUAUCGGAAGGAACACCAGUGGCGAAGGCGGCUACCUGGACAAACACUGACACUGAGGCGCGAGAGCGUGGGGAGCAAACAGG
rnacentral:rRNA from 1 species